GCAGUGAUGUGGAGCGAACUCAAAAAAAUAAGUCUCAGUUCGGAUUGAAGGCUGAAAUUCGCCUUCAUGAAGCCGGAAUUGCUAGUAAUGGCAGGUCAGCAUACUGCCGUGAAUACGUUCCCGGGCCUUGUACACACCGCCCGUCACACCAUGAGAGUUGGGAAUACCCGAAGCCUGUGAGCUAACUUUUAGAGGCAGCAGUCGAAGGUAGAAUCAAUGAUUGGGGUGAAGUCGUAACAAGGUACC
rnacentral:rRNA from 1 species